ACGGGAGGCAGCAGUGGGGAAUAUUGCACAAUGGGGGAAACCCUGAUGCAGCGACGCCGCGUGAGUGAAGAAGUUAUUCGUAAUGUAAAGCUCUAUCAGCAGGGAAGAAAAUGACGGUACCUGACUAAGAAGCCCCGGCUAACUACGUGCCAGCAGCCGCGGUAAUACGUAGGGGGCAAGCGUUAUCCGGAUUUAUUGGGUUUAAAGGGUGCGCAGGCGGGCUGUUAAGUCAGCGGUGAAAUCUCCGGGCUCAACUCGGAAACUGCCGUUGAUACUGGCGGCCUUGAGUCAUGUCGAGGAUGGCGGAAUGCAGCGUGUAGCGGUGAAAUGCUUAGAUAUGCUGCAGAACUCCGAUUGCGAAGGCAGCUGUCCAGAGAUGUACUGACGCUGAGGCACGAAAGCAUGGGUAUCAAACAGGAUUAGAUACCCUGGUA
rnacentral:rRNA from 1 species